CCUACGGGUGGCUGCAGUGGGGAAUAUUGGACAAUGGGCGAAAGCCUGAUCCAGCCAUGCCGCGUGUGUGAAGAAGGCCUUCGGGUUGUAAAGCACUUUCAGUGGGGAAGAAAGCCUUGGGGCUAAUACCCUCGAGGAAGGACAUCACCCACAGAAGAAGCACCGGCUAACUCCGUGCCAGCAGCCGCGGUAAUACGGAGGGUGCGAGCGUUAAUCGGAAUUACUGGGCGUAAAGCGCGCGUAGGCGGUCUGAUAAGCCGGUUGUGAAAGCCCCGGGCUCAACCUGGGAACGGCAUCCGGAACUGUCAGGCUAGAGUGCAGGAGAGGAAGGUAGAAUUCCCGGUGUAGCGGUGAAAUGCGUAGAGAUCGGGAGGAAUACCAGUGGCGAAGGCGGCCUUCUGGACUGACACUGACGCUGAGGUGCGAAAGCGUGGGUAGCAACCAGGAUUAGAUACCCGAGUAGUC
rnacentral:rRNA from 1 species